GAGCAUAUGGCCGCAGCCAUAAUACUGCCGCGUGUGCUUCAGAGGCAUUGCAAGGUUCAAUCUACAUCCAAGUGUGAUUUACAGAAACAAGGGCACAUCUCUACCCAAAUACCCAGGCUACUGCUGACAGAGACGCCUCUUACGAGAUGAAACAAGGGCUUCACCCUUUUUUUCCUCUCCUUUGUUCAUGAACAGCAUCACAAAGGAAGCUGCUGUAAAAUCCAGCUACCAGUGACCACAGGCAGAGAUGUGCUUCAUGGCUUUUGGUGUGAGGGUCCUGAAAUGACAGCCUUGGUUCCUAGCCAGGGUUUUGGAGCAAGCAAAUGAAUUCCAGGAGUAUAAGGCAUUAGGCAGGACAUUGGAAUUACGUGGUGACAGCAAGUCAAAGUGCCAGGAAUGAAUCGUGCGUCUUAGCAACUCUGCCUCAACAAGGAAUCCAAAGGCAAAGUAUGUCCUUCUCAUCCCAUCAGUAGCCAGAUGCCUGCAGAGUACUUCUUGCUUUCCCCAGCCAAUUUAAAACAAUAAAUAGUGCUAUUGAUAAUUUUGAGAAGUUGCCAAAAAUCUUGGAGGCUUAGCACCUGAAGAAUUGUAUUAGACACCACUAUCUGCAUUUUCAGUAGUUCUCCUUAGAAAGUCUUAAGUUUUCAUCUUCUACUGAACUGGCACAGCUUCACUUAGUUUUCCCGCUAUUACAAGUUGCU